rnacentral:tRNA from 1 species
GGAGUAUGUUGGAUGUAGCUUGAAACUACAUAAACUAAAUUUUAUUUAGAUACUCUU